AUGGACCAUUCCAUCCCUUUUUCCCGUGCAUAUGCAUCGGACUCGGAUGAUGAUGGUCCCGAUGAACAAGUUGAUGCGGAGGGGUUCACGGUGAAGGAGGCCGAAGCUUUCGAGAAGGUAUUUGGUCGGGAUCAUCGGACUACAUUGUUCAAGGAUGUUAGUCUUGCGGAUGAAGCCGUGGUAGAUGGUGGCCAAUGUGUAGCUCUUGGGGUUAGGCCAAGCUCUCACCGUGAUUUGGUAGACGACAAGAACCGGAUUGCUAAAGGUUCUAAGUUCGACAGCUUGUUGGAUUUGAAGAUGUGGCUCGACAACUACUCGGUUACGCAUUAUCGUCCACACAAGGUGGUGCACUCGGACGUCAAUGUGCGCUACAUGGUUGCAUGUGCAUGUGAAGAUGAAAAGGAGGUCCAACUUGGACUUACAAGAGGCCGUGGUGGUGGUAGAGGUCGUGGAAAGGAGGUCCAACAAGGAGUGGCAAGACGCCGUGGCGGUUGUCCGUGGAUUGUGCGUGCAAGACCAUGGAAAGGAGGUCCUACUUGGCAUGUAGUGAGUUGUGUGCCAACUCACAUGUGCCAAGGCAAAAGGGUGGAUGGCAAGAUUGUGUCCCAAGACCACAAACAACUCACGUCCGAGUUCAUCGCUUACAGGCUCUCCAACUCAAUAUCCACACUUCCAACAAUGAGCGUCCAACAUGUCAUUGACCUUGUGAAAGCCAUCUUUCAUUACAAGGUGAAAUACGGCAAGGCAUGGAAGGCGAAGCAAGCUGCAUUUAAGAUGUUGUAUGGUACAUGGGAGGAAGCAUACAACUGA
rnacentral:rRNA from 1 species